UCAGCUCGGUGGCAUCUGGUGGGCCACUGUGUGAGGAUGCUGGACUAGAUAGGCCUUGGGCCUGAUCCAGCAGGGCUGUUCUUAUGUUUGUAUGUGUGGAUUUGUUGUCAUGUAACAAUAAUCUGUUUUUUCUGCUUUCAGUGAAAUGUCAUUGGAGGGCAUGGCAAUAUGAUUACUUCGCUUUCAAGUUGGCGACUAUGAACACUUGCAUAUGUUCCCUUUGGGGUUGUGUCUGUACAGUGUGCUGGCAACAUUUAGGAGCAGUUUCUUUUGUUCACAAAGAUCCCACUUAGUCAAAUUUUUUUUAAACUAUUAUGCUGGGACUGGAAGAAAUCCAAGGAAACUGCAAAGCUAAUUUGUUUCAACAACCUUUCAAUCACUAUGAUGUCACAUAGAAGGGAAAUCAAGGACCUUCCUUGCUUCCACUGGUACCACAACAGUAGAGAUGGUCUCUCUCAGUUAAAAUCAUGUUAAAAGAACUCCACUUUUGUUCUCAUCCAGCUAUUCAUCCAGCUACUCAAAUAGCGACAUCACAAGGCAUUUUUCUCAAGAUCAACAGUCUCAAAAUUGUUGCGCUCUUUCAUGAUUUGUAAACAUUUCUUCCCAAGAUGUUUGUUUGUUCUAUUAAUAAUAUCUAAAUUCUCAUAGGUGAACUAAUAGCCAGUCAAUUUGUUGUGAAGAAAAAUGGGAUAGCACCAUGUGUGAGGCCCUGAGCUCCCUGGAGGAAGGGCAGGAAACAUAUGUGAGAAAUAUAAUAUGCAUUUGCACAAUUCAGUAACAUGCAUGACAACACAACAUGAAACCCAAAGAAAUAAGCCCCUUGCAAACAGACCUGUAGAUGUGGUAAAUAUAUUGGCUGACAUCCAGAUGAGCAUUAUGCCUGCACACUGAGAAACGUUGAGCACACUAAAGAGGUUUAUGUUGCUGUGUGAAGUUGAGGUGCUCUUUCAUGUUCUCAAUCACUAGUGGAACUUUCUCAGAAACACUACAAGGUUGUACAACAUCUGCAACUUGUAACAUCUUCCACAAGUACAAGAAAGAGCCUAGACUAGAGCAAAUGUUCCUUUCUUUGCACAGUGCCAUUGUGCUGUGUCCUUAUGCUAGCAAAACAUCAUGCUAACAGAACAGUAGUCUGGAUGAAGGACAAUAUGUCUAAAAAAACCACAGUCUUUAGGGUGAUAAGGACCAAACCAGAUAUGAUGCAGGAGAUCCAUAAUCAGAUUUCCUGGGUUGUCUUUUUUAAAAUUUAAAGCAGUUUCUGGAGACUGAGAUUAAUGAGAGCAUUGGUGCUGUGCAUGUGGUUUAAGAGCAUAAGAAAAGUCUUGUGGAAUUAGACCAUAGAAAUCUUCCUAGUUGGGCAUCCUGUUUGUCACAGUGGCCAACCAGAUGCCCCUUAAACUCCAGUAAACUGGUUUUAGCUUUUUUCCCCUAUUGAACAGACAAACGUGCUAAUUUUCAACUUGGAAUGGAAUCGCUGUAAAACAGUAGUUUUAUAGAACCAUUUUCAAAGUGGUUAUAAAAGCAGUCCCAGUCACUUUUACUAUAAUGUAAUUUAAUAGUAGUUAAAGCACUUGCAGUUGAACUACAUUUAAAGUAGUUCAUGCCAUCAGUGACAAUGUCCAUCAAAAGCCUUAUACCAAAAUAAACCUGCAUUUUAAAUGUUUUCCCAACAUGUUCCCUUUUUUAAUAAUGGUAAUAAAGCCAUUAACAAAGAUGUUGACUUAGACUUGACAGAUUUGCUUGAGUUCAAUAAGAGACUGGUAUAUGUAUCUGCCUGCUUGGU